AUUGAACGCUGGCGGCAGGCCUAACACAUGCAAGUCGAACGAGUGGCGGACGGGUGAGUAAUGUCUGGGCAACUGCCUGAUGGAGGGGGAUAACUACUGGAAACGGUAGCUAAUACCGCAUACCAUCGGAUGUGCCCAGAUGGGAUUAGCUAGUAGGUGGGGUAAAGGCUCACCUAGGCGACGAUCCCUAGCUGGUCUGAGAGGAUGACCAGCCACGCUGGAACGGAAUCACGGUCCAGACUCCUACGGUAGUGAGCAGGGGGGAAUAAUGCACAAUGGGCGCAAGCCUGAUGCAGCGAUGCCGAGUGUAUGAAGAAGGCCUUCGGGUGGUAAAGUACUUUCAGCGAGGAGGCAUUACCCGCAGGAGAAGCACCGGCUAACUCCGUGCCAGCAGCCGCGGUGAUUC
rnacentral:rRNA from 1 species